UCAGGUUAGUCUGUAGAUAGCUGAUUUCGUCGAGGGCUACAGUUGGAUUUGCAUCCUCAAAAAUCGUAGGUUCGCAGCCUUCGUUACUUUUGGUCAUUCGGGGGGCCCACAUGUCAUUGUAAAUUAAAUUACACACUUUGGCUCACUGUGUUACUGUAUGUACGAAUUUAUUUUGCUUUUACGCUACAAAAAUUAUUUACGGAUACCUCU
rnacentral:lncRNA from 1 species